UGGCUUUGGAUCCGUUCAACUCCAGCCAUUGCCGUCAUUUGGAACCCCAGACUUCGCACAAAUCAAGCACUAGCCAUCUACGCCUAGACCCCGGACAGACUGGAGCCCACCUACCCAACACGUUGAAAAAAAGGAUGACUAUGCUAUUGCUGACCAUUCAAGGACCCAACACCACAGUGGACCAGACACCUGCCAAGGAGCUGAUCAUGCAUUGCUCAACUGUCACUUUCAGGUGCCUUCCUCAGGUCUGUUAGUUCCUGUUCCCCUGCUGUGAGAGAAAGUCCUUCUCUUUGAUCUGUUCUCUACACCUGAAGACUGGCUUGUUCAUUUCCAUAUCAACUGCUCCAGAGCUUUCUCUGCAGGACUGCAAUCAGCCCUGGCUCCACGCUGGCAAGUUUUCCAGAUCUUUCCUAUAGAUCUAAUCAGUUGUCCACCUGGUUCUGAGGAGGCGCUUUCUCCUGGAUAAGAAGUUGGCUCCGAAUUUGCGUGGCAGAACAUCUUUCCCUUAGCACCGUGUCAGUGCAGCAAAUCACUUCAAUGCUAUCUAACAAUCAAACUUUGUAUCCACAAUUUUUCAUGAACUCUAUGUGACGCAGGAUUUAUUUCCAAGCAAUAAAUCCUUCCCCUCUUUUCCUUUUA